rnacentral:rRNA from 1 species
UCGAGGGAGAACCCGCAAGGGGGACACCGGCGAACGGGGUAGGAAUACCUAGGUGACGUACCCCCAGGACGAGGAUAGCCACGGGAAACUGUGGGUAAUACUCGAUAAUUCGGCAGAUAAUUAUGGUUUGUCGGCAAAGGUGAGAUUCCACCUGAGGAGCGGCUUAGGCCGUAUUAGCUAGUUGGUAGGGUGAUGGCCUACCAAGGCGAUGAUACGUAGGGGGUGUGAGAGCAUGGCCCCCACCACUGGCACUGAGACACUGGCCAGACACCUACGGGUGGCUGCAGUCGAGAAUCUUCGGCAGUGGGCGAAAGCCUGACCGAGCGACGCCGCGUGCGGGAUGAAGGUCUUUGGAUUGUAAACCGCUGUCGGGGGGGAUGAAGUGCAUGAGGGUAAUCCCUUGUGUUUGACAGAGCCCCGGAGGAAGCACGGGCUAAGUUCGUGCCAGCAGCCGCGGUAAUACGAACUGUGCGAACGUUAUUCGGAAUCACUGGGCUUAAAGGGUGCGUAGGCGGUUGGUUAAGUCAGGUGUGAAAUCCCCCAGCUCAACUGGGGAAUAGCGCUUGAAACUAGCGAGCUAGAGUGAGGUAGGGGUACACGGAACUUCCGGUGGAGCGGUGAAAUGUGUAGAGAUCGGAAGGAACGCCUGUGGCGAAAGCGGUGUACUGGGCCUUGUCUGACGCUGAGGCACGAAAGCUAG